rnacentral:rRNA from 1 species
UACAGAGGUCUCAAGCGUUGUUCGGAAUCACUGGGCGUAAAGGGUGCGUAGGUGGCGUGGUAAGUCAGAUGUGAAAGCCCGGGGCUCAACCUCGGAAUUGCAUCCGAUACUGCCGUGCUAGAGUACUGAAGAGGUGACUAGAAUUCUCGGUGUAGCAGUGAAAUGCGUAGAUAUCGAGAGGAAUACCAACGGCGAAGGCGGGUCACUGGGCAGUUACUGACACUGAGGCACGAAGGCCAGGGGAGCAAACGGG